UACGGGGGGUGCGAGCGUUGUCCGGAAUCACUGGGCGUAAAGGGCGCGUAGGUGGCCUGAUAAGGGUGUGGUGAAAGUCCGGGGCUCAACCCCGGAUCUGCCGUGCCGACUGUUGGGCUGGAGUACUGUAGGGGCAGAGGGAAUUUCCGGUGGAGCGGUGAAAUGCGUAGAGAUCGGAAAGAACACCAACGGCGAAAGCACUCUGCUGGGCCGACACUGACACUGAGAGACGAAAGCUAGGGGAGCGAAUGGG
rnacentral:rRNA from 1 species